rnacentral:lncRNA from 1 species
ACGCAAAGUGAAGAGUCAUUUACUAAAUAGAAAAAUCUAAAAUAUUUUCUUUUACAACUUCACAAGUGUUAGAUGUAAAAAAAAAAAAAACUCUAUUAUUAUUAAUAUAUAAGUGAUGUAAGUAGAGCAUUAAACUUAUAAACAUAAAGUGAUAAAACAUUAUCCUAUUUGAUACAUCCCUAAUAUGGAAAAUAUGGUUAAAAUUCUGAAAUUUGCUCCUCUUAUGAUUAUUAUUCUCUCUUUAUUUCUGGUUUCAGUGAACACAAAACGUAAGCCAUUUUUUCUUUUUAACUUUCCUUCUUUAUUUCAUUUAUAAUAUUUUAUUCUAUUUUAGUAUUUUUUAUUUUAAUAUAGCGGAGGGUGAUGAUUGUUCUGCUAGUACUGACUGCGAUUGCGAGCAUCCAUUGAUACCUGUGUGUAUUUUUAAUAUGUGCAAGUGUAUAGCAUUAUAAUUUGUUUUUCAUUUAGUUUAUUUUUCAAAUUUCAUGGACUUCGUAGUUACGGUUUGUAUCUAAAAUGAAUGGUAAAUGAAAUAAAAUAAGGUAUCAAUAGAAUAUUAUAUAAACUAUCUUCUUCUCUUAUUUUUGAAAAUAGUAUUGCGAUCUUACAUUUAGGCAUCAAUUUGCCUUUAUAGUUU